rnacentral:lncRNA from 1 species
CUCGUGUUAAAACUUAAAGACACAUAGUUGUAGAGACAAAGACAACAAUAACAUUAAUUUUGCUCUUAUAAUGUAUUGCUGUAUUAUUGCAUUGAAUUGCAACAAAGUAAAGUGUUUAGAAACUUCAGUAGUGCAAAAAUAUUUCUUAUUGAUAAUGUCACGAAAAAGUUGUUACCUGGCCAUGCAACCAUGUUUAGCAAACCGUGUGCCUUCGCAAACGGAUCGCGUACAUUUGAGCAUUGUUUUGAAAAGAUGCGCAUUGGUUGGUAUAAAAUAUUUUCAAACAUUAAAUAAAGAUAUAUUUGGUUUUCAACGAUCAUUGCACAGUGAAGAGUAUAUAAAGCAAGCUAUAGAUUACAUAUUUUAAAAUAAAUGAUAAGAACUUUUUUUUACCAAAAUAGUUUUAAACGAUGAUAGUGAUUUAUUAUGUUUACACUUGAUAUGAAAGGUUUUAAACGUUAAUGGAGAUUUUUUAUGUUUACAUUUGUUUAAAUUAGAUGGUGUUCAAUUAGGAAAAUCCAAAAAAGUGUUUGUUUCAAAAAUAGAUUUAGAAAUGCUGCAUUCUGAAGUAGAAGAAAAGCAACUUAAAGAAAUCGCACAAGUUAUAAUAAAGCCAAAAGCUAAAGAUUUACAUGGAGCAUGCUUAUAGGCUGCUAACAAAGCUAGAUUUAAUUUUUCAAUGGACUACGAAAAAAUGAGAUGCGCAUUGGUUAGUAUAAAAUAUUUUCAAACAUUAAAUAAAGAUAUAUUUGGUUUUCAACGAUCAUUGCACAGUAAAGAGUAUAUAAAGCAAGCUAUAGAUUAAAUAUUUUAAAAUAAAUGAUAAGAACUUUUUUUUACCAAAAUAGUUUUAAACGAUGAUAGUGAUUUAUUAUGUUUACACUUGAUAUCAAAGGUUUUAAAUGUUAAUGGAGAUUUUUUAUGUUUACAUUUGUUUAAAUUAGAUGGUGUUCAAUUAGGAAAAUCCAAAAAUGCGUUUGUUUCAAAAAUAGAUUUAGAAAUGCUGCAUUCUGAAGGUAGUUUUCAAGUUUUAUGUAUUUGUGCUGUUUGAAAUGUUGGCAUUAUGUAAAGCAAGGUUUCUUAACUUGCUUUCGACCAUUAACAGUAGAAGAAAAGCAACUUAAAGAAAUCGCACAAGUUAUAAUAAAGCCAAAAGCUAAAGAUUUACAUGGAGCAUGCUUAUAUGCUGCUAACAACGCUAGAUUUACUUUUUCAAUGGACUACGAAAAAAUGAGAUGCGCAUUGGUUAGUAUAAAAUAUUUACAAACAUUAUAUGAAGAUAUAUGUGGUUUUCAACGAUCAUUGCACAGUAAAGAGUAUAUAAAGCAAGCUAUAGAUUAAAUGUUUUAAAAUAAAUGAUAAGAACUUUUUUUUACCAAAAUAGUUUUAAACGAUGAUAGUGAUUUAUUAUGUUUACACUUGAUAUGAAAGGUUUUAAACGUUAAUGGAGAUUUAUUAUGUUUACAUUUGUUUAAAUUAGAUGGUGUUCAAUUAGGAAAAUCCAAAAAUGUGUUUGUUUCAAAAAUAGAUUUAGAAAUGCUGCAUUCUGAAGGUAGUUUACAAGUUUUAUGUAUUUGUGCUGUUUGAAAUGUUGGCAAUAUGUAAAGCAAGGUUUCUUAACUUGCUUUCGACCAUUAACAGUAGAAGAAAAGCAACUUAAAGAAAUCGCACAAGUUAUAAUAAAGCCAAGAGCUAAAGAUUUACAUGGAGCAUGCUUAUAUGCUGCUAACAAAGCUAGAUUUACUUUUUCAAUGGACUACGAAAAAAUGAGAUGCGCAUUGGUUAGUAUAAAAUAUUUUCAAACAUUAAAUAAAGAUAUAUUUGGUUUUCAACGAUCAUUGCACAGUAAAGAGUAUAUAAAGCAAACUAUAGAUUACAUAUUUUAAAAUAAAUGAUAAGAACUUUUUUUUACCAAAAUAGUUUUAAACGAUGAUAGUGAUUUAUUAUGCUUACACUUGAUAUGAAAGGUUUUAAACGUUAAUGGAGAUUUAUUAUGUUUACAUUUGUUUAAAUUAGAUGGUGUUCAAAUUGGAAAAUCCAAAAAUGCGUUUGUUCCAAAAAUAGAUUUAGAAAUGCUGCAUUCUGAAGGCAGUUUACAAGUUUUAUGUAUUUGUGCUGUUUAAAAUGUUGGGAAUAUGUAAAGCAAGGUUUCUUAACUUGCUUUUGACCAUUAACAGUAGAAGAAAAGCAACUUGAAGAAAUCGCACAAGUUAUAUUAAAGCCAAAAGCUAAAGAUUUACAUGGAGCAUGCUUAUAGGCUGCUAACAAAGCUAGAUUUAAUUUUUCAAUGGACUACGAAAAAAUGAGAUGCGCAUUAGUUAGUAUAAAAUAUUUACAAACAUUAUAUGAAGAUAUAUGUGGUUUUCAACGAUCAUUGCACAGUAAAGAGUAUAUAAAGCAAGCUAUAGAUUAAAUAUUUUAAAAUAAAUGAUAAGAACUUUUUUUUACCAAAAUAGUUUUAAACGAUGAUAGUGAUUUAUUAUGUUUACACUUGAUAUGAAAGGUUUUAAACGUUAAUGGAGAUUUUUUAUGUUUACAUUUGUUUAAAUUAGAUGGUGUUCAAUUAGGAAAAUCCAAAAAUGUGUUUGUUUCAAAAAUAGAUUUAGAAAUGCUGCAUUCUGAAGGUAGUUUUCAAGUUUUAUGUAUUUGUGCUGUUUGAAAUGUUGGCAAUAUGUAAAGCAAGGUUUCUUAACUUGCUUUCGACCAUUAACAGUAGAAGAAAAGCAACUUAAAGAAAUCGCACAAGUUAUAAUAAAGCCAAGAGCUAAAGAUUUACAUGGAGCAUGCUUAUAUGCUGCUAACAAAGCUAGAUUUACUUUUUCAAUGGACUACGAAAAAAUGAGAUGCGCAUUGGUUAGUAUAAAAUAUUUUCAAACAUUAAAUAAAGAUAUAUUUGGUUUUCAACGAUCAUUGCACAGUAAAGAGUAUAUAAAGCAAGCUAUAGAUUACAUAUUUUAAAAUAAAUGAUAAGAACUUUUUUUUACCAAAAUAGUUUUAAACGAUGAUAGUGAUUUAUUAUGUUUACACUUGAUAUGAAAGGUUUUAAACGUUAAUGGAGAUUUUUUAUGUUUACAUUUGUUUAAAUUAGAUGGUGUUCAAUUAGGAAAAUCCAAAAAUGUGUUUGUUUCAAAAAUAGAUUUAGAAAUGCUGCAUUCUGAAGGUAGUUUUCAAGUUUUAUGUAUUUGUGCUGUUUGAAAUGUUGGCAAUAUGUAAAGCAAGGUUUCUUAACUUGCUUUCGACCAUUAACAGUAGAAGAAAAGCAACUUAAAGAAAUCGCACAAGUUAUAAUAAAGCCAAAAGCUAAAGAUUUACAUGGAGCAUGCUUAUAUGCUGCUAACAAAGCUAGAUUUACUUUUUCAAUGGACUACGAAAAAAUGAGAUGCGCAUUGGUUAGUAUAAAAUAUUUUCAAACAUUAAAUAAAGAUAUAUUUGGUUUUCAACGAUCAUUGCACAGUAAAGAGUAUAUAAAGCAAGCUAUAGAUUACAUAUUUUAAAAUAAAUGAUAAGAACUUUUUUUUACCAAAAUAGUUUUAAACGAUGAUAGUGAUUUAUUAUGUUUACACUUGAUAUGAAAGGUUUUAAACGUUAAUGGAGAUUUUUUAUGUUUACAUUUGUUUAAAUUAGAUGGUGUUCAAUUAGGAAAAUCCAAAAAUGUGUUUGUUUCAAAAAUAGAUUUAGAAAUGCUGCAUUCUGAAGGUAGUUUACAAGUUUUAUGUAUUUGUGCUGUUUGAAAUGUUGGCAAUAUGUAAAGCAAGGUUUCUUAACUUGCUUUCGACCAUUAACAGUAGAAGAAAAGCAACUUAAAGAAAUCGCACAAGUUAUAAUAAAGCCAAGAGCUAAAGAUUUACAUGGAGCAUGCUUAUAUGCUGCUAACAAAGCUAGAUUUACUUUUUCAAUGGACUACGAAAAAAUGAGAUGCGCAUUGGUUAGUAUAAAAUAUUUUCAAACAUUAAAUAAAGAUAUAUUUGGUUUUCAACGAUCAUUGCACAGUAAAGAGUAUAUAAAGCAAGCUAUAGAUUACAUAUUUUAAAAUAAAUGAUAAGAACUUUUUUUUACCAAAAUAGUUUUAAACGAUGAUAGUGAUUUAUUAUGUUUACACUUGAUAUGAAAGGUUUUAAACGUUAAUGGAGAUUUUUUAUGUUUACAUUUGUUUAAAUUAGAUGGUGUUCAAUUAGGAAAAUCCAAAAAUGUGUUUGUUUCAAAAAUAGAUUUAGAAAUGCUGCAUUCUGAAGGUAGUUUUCAAGUUUUAUGUAUUUGUGCUGUUUGAAAUGUUGGCAAUAUGUAAAGCAAGGUUUCUUAACUUGCUUUCGACCAUUAACAGUAGAAGAAAAGCAACUUAAAGAAAUCGCACAAGUUAUAAUAAAGCCAAAAGCUAAAGAUUUACAUGGAGCAUGCUUAUAUGCUGCUAACAAAGCUAGAUUUAAUUUUUCAAUGGACUACGAAAAAAUGAGAUGCGCAUUGGUUAGUAUAAAAUAUUUACAAACAUUAUAUGAAGAUAUAUGUGGUUUUCAACGAUCAUUGCACAGUAAAGAGUAUAUAAAGCAAGCUAUAGAUUACAUAUUUUAAAAUAAAUGAUAAGAACUUUUUUUUACCAAAAUAGUUUUAAACGAUGAUAGUGAUUUAUUAUGUUUACACUUGAUAUGAAAGGUUUUAAACGUUAAUGGAGAUUUUUUAUGUUUACAUUUGUUUAAAUUAGAUGGUGUUCAAUUAAGAAAAUCCAAAAAUGUGUUUGUUUCAAAAAUAGAUUUAGAAAUGCUGCAUUCUGAAGGCAGUUUACAAGUUUUAUGUAUUUGUGCUGUUUGAAAUGUUGGCAAUAUGUAAAGCAAGGUUUCUUAACUUGCUUUCGACCAUUAACAGUAGAAGAAAAGCAACUUAAAGAAAUCGCACAAGUUAUAUUAAAGCCAAAAGCUAAAGAUUUACAUGGAGCAUGCUUAUAGGCUGCUAACAAAGCUAGAUUUAAUUUUUCAAUGGACUACGAAAAAAUGAGAUGCGCAUUGGUUAGUAUAAAAUAUUUACAAACAUUAUAUGAAGAUAUAUGUGGUUUUCAACGAUCAUUGCACAGUAAAGAGUAUAUAAAGCAAGCUAUAGAUUAAAUAUUUUAAAAUAAAUGAUAAGAACUUUUUUUUACCAAAAUAGUUUUAAACGAUGAUAGUGAUUUAUUAUGUUUACACUUGAUAUGAAAGGUUUUAAACGUUAAUGGAGAUUUAUUAUGUUUACAUUUGUUUAAAUUAGAUGGUGUUCAAUUAGGAAAAUCCAAAAAUGUGUUUGUUUUAAAAUAGAUUUAGAAAUGCUGCAUUCUGAAGGCAGUUUACAUGUUUUAUGUAUUUGUGCUGUUUAAAAUGUUGGGAAUAUGUAAAGCAAGGUUUCUUAACUUGCUUUUGACCAUUAACAGUAGAAGAAAAGCAACUUGAAGAAAUCGCACAAGUUAUAUUAAAGCCAAAAGCUAAAGAUUUACAUGGAGCAUGCUUAUAGGCUGCUAACAAAGCUAGAUUUAAUUUUCCUAUGGACUACAAAAAAAUGAGAUGCGCAUUGGUUAGUAUAAAAUAUUUACAAACAUUAUAUGAAGAUAUAUGUGGUUUUCAACGAUCAUUGCACAGUAAAGAGUAUAUAAAGCAAGCUAUAGAUUAAAUAUUUUAAAAUAAAUGAUAAGAACUUUUUUUUACCAAAAUAGUUUUAAACGAUGAUAGUGAUUUAUUAUGUUUACACUUGAUAUGAAAGGUUUUAAACGUUAAUGGAGAUUUAUUAUGUUUACAUUUGUUUAAAUUAGAUGGUGUUCAAUUAGGAAAAUCCAAAAAUGUGUUUGUUUCAAAAAUAGAUUUAGAAAUGCUGCAUUCUGAAGGCAGUCUACAAGUUUCAUGUAUUUGUGCUGUUUAAAAUGUUGGGAAUAUGUAAAGCAAGGUUUCUUAACUUGCUUUUGACCAUUAACAGUAGAAGAAAAGCAACUUGAAGAAAUCGCACAAGUUAUAUUAAAGCCAAAAGCUAAAGAUUUACAUGGAGCAUGCUUAUAGGCUGCUAACAAAGCUAGAUUUAAUUUUCCUAUGGACUACAAAAAAAUGAGAUGGAGGAGGUGCAUAUUGGUUAGUAUAAAAUGUUUACAAACAUUAUAUGAAGAUAUGCGUGGUUUUCAACGAUCAUUGCACAGUACAGAGUAUCUAAAGGAAGCUAUAGAUUGAAUAUUUUUAAAUAAAUGGAGAUGGAGGAGGUGCACAUUGGUUAGUAUAAAAUGUUUACAAACAUUAUUUGAAGAUAUGGGUGGUUUUCAACGAUCAUUGCACAGUACAGAAUAUCUAAAGCAAGCUAUAGAUUAAAUAUUUUAGAAUGAAUGAUUACUGUAUUUUACUAAAGUAGUUUUAAAUGAUGAUAGUGAUUUAUUAUGUUUACCAUUAAUAUGAUUGGUUUUAAACGAUAAUGGAGAUUUAUUAUGUUUACAUUUGUUCAAGUUAACUUGUGUUCAAUUAGGAAAACACAUAAAAGCGCUUGUUCCAUAAAUAGAUUUAGAAAUGCUGCAUACUGAAGGCAGUUUACAAGUUUUAUGUAUUUGUGCUGUUCGGAAAAGUUGGGAAUUUAUAAAAUAAUUUUUUUCAUUUGGCUUAAGACCAUUAACAGAUGAAGAAAAACAACUUAAAGAAAUCACACAAGUUAAAUUAAAACCAGAAGCUAAAGCAUAACAUGGAGCAUGCUUAUAGACUGCUAACAAAUUUGGAUUUUUCCUAUGGAUUAUGAAAAAAUGUUUUUUGCGUUUUUUAAUUUAAUUUUUUUGUAA